rnacentral:lncRNA from 1 species
CAUGUUGUUCUGCUCCAGUCUAAUAAACUCCACUUCCUUCAUAUGACGAACACUUUCAGGAAAGUAUUUGUCAUUAAAUAGUUUCUGAAAUGUCUCCCAAGACAUGCUGAGUGCGGCUGGAUGGGUACGCUUCACAGACUCCCACCAGUAGUCUGCCUCGCCACGGAACAUAAAGGUGGCGAAUGGAACCUUCUGUUCCUCCGUGCAUCCCAAGACAUCGAAUAUCUUGGUAAUUUGCUUGACCCAUGUUUCCGCCAUGAUCGGAUCAGGCUUUCCCUUAAAUUCUGGUGGUCCCAACUCUUUGAACUGCUUGGCUGUGACAACCCGUGAAUUGCUAUCAUUUCCUCCUAUGUUUUGAAC